rnacentral:lncRNA from 1 species
AUCUAUUAUUUAAUACAUACAUUAGAUGUAGCUAGUAUAGAAACAUGUUGAUAUGAUCAACAUGUAGUUCAUACUAUAUUUAUAUAUAUUUUAAUUUUUGAUUUAAUGCUAUAUAAUAAUCAUGUAAUAGGAUCUUAGAUCUAGGAAUUUUCUGAUCUUAAAAAAUAAAUUUUGAUUUAUUUUAGUCUUCCGCUGUAUGAUCUUG